AGAAAGGAGCGAGAGAGAAAACGGGGAAUUACAGACCAGUUAGCCUGACUUCGGUGGUGGGAAAGAUGCUGGCGUCAAUAAUUAAAGAGAUGCUUCCUGUGAAAAGUGUGGGAGGCUGAACUCAUCCAAUGUUCCAUUACAAACCAAUUGGUGGGACUGGUGGAGGGUGACAUUCCUGCAACUUUCCUUAGUUAUCCAAGGAAGAAGGUCCCAUAUGUCUACCUAGAGCCACAGUUGAUUGGGUGACCAUGGACCAGGUCACUGUGCGGAGAUGCAGGCUUCUUCUAUUACUCGAGGAAAGUUUCAAUGAAGAUGUUGGAUUUGUAUUCUACUCUUCAGCAGUCAGUCUAUUGCUUCUUUGAGAUUCAUCGAGAUCAGCUGGCUGUAGCAGGAAAAUACUUUAUAAUUAGUAAAUAUGAUGAGCAUAUUUCAGAUCCUUUUCAAAGACAGAGUCCACCAUUUCUCUAAAACACU